UCAGUUCGGAUUGGAGGCUGAAACCCGCCUCCAUGAAGUUGGAUUCGCUAGUAAUCGCGCAUCAGCCAUGGCGCGGUGAAUACGUUCCCGGGCCUUGUACACACCGCCCGUCACACCAUGGGAGCCGGGAGUGCCUGAAGUGUGCAACCGCAAGGAGCGCCCUAAGGUAAAACCGGUGACUGGGGCUAAGUCGUAACAAGGUAAC
rnacentral:rRNA from 1 species